GUGCUCACUUCAGCAGCACAUAUACUAAAACUGGAAUGAUACAGAGAUUAGUGUGGCCACUGUACAAGGAUCACACGCAAAUUUGUGGAACAUUCCAUAUAAAA
ensembl:snRNA U6 U6 spliceosomal RNA